AGAGAGAGACAUGCGCGCAUAUCAAUAAGCGGAGGAAAAGAAACUAACAAGGAUUCCCUUAGUAACGGCGAGUGAAGCGGGAAGAGCUCAAAUUUGAAAUCUUCAAGGUUUUACCUUGACGAAUUGUAGUUUAAAGAAGUGUUUUCUGCUGAAGUUUUGGUAAAAGUUCUUUGGAAUAGGACAUCAUAGAGGGUGAGAAUCCCGUAUUUGACCAUUAUUUUCAGCUUUGUGAUACACUUUCAAAGAGUCGGAUUGUUUGGGAAUGCAGUCCAAAAUGGGUGGUAAAUUUCAUCUAAAGCUAAAUAUUGGCGAGAGACCGAUAGCGAACAAGUACCGUGAGGGAAAGAUGUAAAGAACUUUGAAAAGAGAGUUAAACAGUACGUGAAAUUGUCAAAAGGGAAGCGUUUGACACCAGUGUUGUUUUCUCGAAAAUCAAUUAAAAAUGGCUCGAUUUUGUAUUGCUGAGACCUUAAAAGCUCACUGUACAUUUUUCGUGUCUUUUUUAAUGCACUUUUCGUUUAACAAGUCAACAUCAGUUUCUUUUGUUGUAAAAGGGUCAUUGGAAGGUGGCUUUCUUUUCGGAGAAAGUGUUUAUAGCCUUUGGCCUCUGCAAUCGGAAGAGACUGAGGUCUGCAGCGUAGACUCUUCGGGGUUAGAUACAUUUGUGCUAAGUUAUAGCUUUUUAUAGACAACUUGUUGACUAUAAUUAGUCUUGUAGCUUACUCGCUUAUGCUAUUUUACCUACGCUUAGGAUGUUGAGUCGUAGAGCACGCAG
rnacentral:rRNA from 1 species